GUGGACAUCUCCAAAGCAGAAAAAUCUCUUAGCGACAUGAUUACCCCUGUCAGCAGAUGGUGAGUCUCAGAUGGAAAGACAGAUGGACAGGUAGUUGAAUAGAUGGAUACAGAUCAGUGUGUGUGUGUGUGUAUUUGUGUAGGUCUCCCCAGGAAGAGGUUCAGCCAAUGAUGGAGGCUAUAGUGGAGGAAAACAUUGAGAUUCCCGAGGCUCAGACUGACACAGAGAGCAGGGACAUGCUGAGCUGGAUUGCCUCCAGCUUGCAGAGGCAGAGUGAAGUCACCUUUGACUCUUUGCUGACCCCUAAGGCCGACCGUUUCACUGCAGCUCACACAUUCCACAAACUGCUGGAGCUGCUGUCUGCUGGUCAGGUGACUGCACAUCAGUCUAAACCUUAUCAUAACAUCUCCAUAAAUACUGGCAGGAUGGCUGCAUGAACACACCUACAGUAUCACACAGUUCAUACACAGC
rnacentral:lncRNA from 1 species